AGAGUUUGAUCCUGGCUCAGAGCGAACGCUGGCGGCGUGCCUAACACAUGCAAGUCGAACGUGAACGGGGGCAACCCCUAGUAAAGUGGCGUACGGGUGAGUAACACGUAGGUAAUCUACCUAAGAGUCUGGAAUAACCGGCCGAAAGGCUGGCUAAUACUAGAUAGAGCGACGGGAUUCGUAAUUGGAUCUUUCGGGAA
rnacentral:rRNA from 1 species